rnacentral:rRNA from 1 species
CCUACGGGUGGCAGCAGUGGGGAAUAUUGGACAAUGGGGGCAACCCUGAACCAGCCAUGCCGCGUGUGUGAAGAAGGCCCUCGGGUUGUAAAGCACUUUCAGUGAGGAAGAACGCCUGGUGGUUAAUACCCAUCAGGAAAGACAUCACUCACAGAAGAAGCACCGGCUAACUCCGUGCCAGCAGCCGCGGUAAUACGGAGGGUGCGAGCGUUAAUCGGAAUUACUGGGCGUAAAGCGCGCGUAGGUGGCUUGAUAAGCCGGUUGUGAAAGCCCCGGGCUCAACCUGGGAACGGCAUCCGGAACUGUCAAGCUAGAGUGCAGGAGAGGAAGGUAGAAUUCCCGGUGUAGCGGUGAAAUGCGUAGAGAUCGGGAGGAAUACCAGUGGCGAAGGCGGCCUUCUGGACUGACACUGACACUGAGGUGCGAAAGCGUGGGUAGCAAACAGGAUUAGAUACCCUGGUAGUC